rnacentral:rRNA from 1 species
CACUUUAAGUUAUAAUUUAAAGCACAACCUGCUCAAUGAACCUUUAAAUAGCCGCAGUUUUCUGUGCUAAGGUAGCAUAAUAAAUUGUCUAUUAAUUAUAGAAUAGAAUAAAAGGUCACACGAACAUUCUAUUAUCUCAUUAAUUUAUAUAAAACCUAUAACUUUAAGUAAAAAUACUUAAAACUAACUUUAAAAGACGACAAGACCCUAAUGAACUUAAAAAUUCAAAUUUAACUGGGGCAGUACCAUAAAAAAUUUUUAUUUAAAAAUCCAACAAAACCUAAUUUUAUUAUUCAUCAAAGUUACCGUAGGGAUAACAGAACAAUUAUUAUUCAAAGCUCUUAUUUAAAUAAUAGAUUAUUACCUCGAUGUUGAAUUAAAGUAUCUCCAUUUUAAGCAAAAGUAACCAGAGUAAGUCUGUUCGACUUUUCAAACUUUACAU